CUGAUCCGAAAAAUGAUCCGAUAUGAUCCAAACCGUGAGUUUUGUGAUCCGUUGCACCCCUAAUACAAUAAGUAUUAGUUUGCGCAAAUGACCAAACUUUUCGUCUUCUGUUGUUUUUUUGUUAGUGUCAAGGGAAUCUCCCUCAAACUUACGGAAGCCAGAUACAACAUGUGAGAAAUAAAGUCAAACUCAUGACAGGAAAAAAGUUUCAUGUCAUGUACUUCUCAUGUUGUGCUCUAAUGGCAUUUACAAGAACAAAGAAAGGAAAUGGCACAUCAAAAAAUAGUGGGACCUGUUGCUGCCAGACUUGAAAAUCUAGAAGUGUCCAUGGAAGAGAGUAAUCCCAGGUGUGUAACUACUACAAAUGGAUUUACAGUGUUUAUCAACACUGUUGUCCUGGAAACUGUUUCACCUCCACAAAAUCAACUGGAAGAAAAGAGGGAGGCCAGCUGGACCAAACAUUCAGCUCCACACGCAGGAACAGAUUCUGAGCUAUCCCACAGCUUCAGAUGUAUACAAACCAAUGUGCAAGCUGCCCCAGGUAUAGCACUCUUCAUGAUGGUUGACAUCAUGAAGCAAAACUUCAUAUGUGGAAUACAAAUAUGCAUGUGUGUCACACCCAGGGAGGAUGUCCAGCUGGUAACCAGUACCAGCAUGUGGUGACUGCUUACCAUGAACACCUUUAACAAGAAGCUCCUCAGAACUGUGCACCUGUAUUCCCUGAUUCUAACUCUUCACAUCAUGACUGCAAAGACACCCAGGACACUGUUUUCAUGGAUGAAGCUCAGUGACAUUGGUGCUGACAGGAUGAGGUCUGUGUACCAUUACAUCUACAGCUGACUUUGGCAAAUCAAAAGAAUCCACAAGCUAAUGGAGCAAAAUCGUAUUCAAUAUGUGAACCCCAACAAUGACUGAAGGUUGGUUAGUAGAAUAUUAAAGACUGCCCAGGAAAUCCAUAGUGUUGAAUAAAGAUCUGCAUCUCAUCCAUAAAAAUAAACAUCACUGAGUUGAAGGUAGUAGAAGGAGCUCUUGCUUUGAACUGAUAUUUGAUGAGUUUUGCUGUUGCAUUGUAAAGGAAAUGUGAUAAUACACACUGUAGCUGUUGGGUCAGGGUUGUGGUUGGUCAAUGGUACAGACAAGGGUGAAAAAAAGUC